CAGUCGCCGCGGUAAAACAGAGGUCUCAAGCGUUGUCCGGAUUCAUUGGGCGUAAAGGGAGCGUAGGCGGUCGGGUAAGUCGGAUGUGAAAUCCUGGGGCUCAACCUCAGAACUGCAUUCGAUACUGCUUGGCUAGAGGACUGGAGAGGUGAGUGGAAUUCACGGUGUAGCAGUGAAAUGCGUAGAUAUCGUGAGGAAGACCAGCGGCGAAGGCGGCUCACUGGACAGUUUCUGACGCUGAUGCUCGAAGGCCAGGGGAGCAAACGGGAUUAGAUACCCCAGUAGUCCCUGUCUCUUAUAC
rnacentral:rRNA from 1 species